rnacentral:rRNA from 2 species
GCUAAUACCGCAUACGACCUACGGGUGAAAGCAGGGGACCUUCGGGCCUUGCGCGAUUGAAUGAGCCGAUGCCGGAUUAGCUAGUUGGCGGGGUAAAGGCCCACCAAGGCGACGAUCUGUAGCUGGUCUGAGAGGACGACCAGCCACACUGGGACUGAGACACGGCCCAGACUCCUACGGGAGGCAGCAGUGGGGAAUAUUGGACAAUGGGCGCAAGCCUGAUCCAGCCAUACCGCGUGGGUGAAGAAGGCCUUCGGGUUGUAAAGCCCUUUUGUUGG